AGGCAAGAAGUGUCUUGGAUGGAAAGAUUCUGCCCCUUUUUAGGGUGAAAAGAAAAACCACAUCCAAUCUUCCGGCACAUGUCCAAGCAGUUCAAGAUCGGGAAAGGAAUGACUAAAGAUUAGUGGACUUGAUUAUCACAUCAAAAUCAGCAGAGCAGCAUUUGGUGGAUAUACUCGGUGGGAAAAGGUCAAAUUGGUUUCCACUAAAACCCCGUUCUCAAGUGCCUGUCUACAUUGAGAAUGAGCAGUCCCAGUCAAUCAUUUGUGACUACAUCAGAGGAAUUCUUAAUAAAACCAAAACACAGCUGACCUUCAAUGAUGAGGUGGAGUUCAUUUGUGGAUGUCUCCUCCCAGAGGCCAUAACUCAUGGCAUUUCCGAGUUACAAGGCUUGUCUUGGCAGGAGGCUGAAGAUGUCUUCCUCCAGGGCCCCAUUUAUCACGCAAGUGAAGUUGAGGAAUUUAACAGAAGAAUUGCUCGAGAAAUGAAAAAUCUCCCCAACAAGAAUGUAAAGCAUUUUAUUUUAUUUUAUAUGUAAUAAAUACAUUAUUAAU